rnacentral:rRNA from 1 species
UACGAAGGGGGCUAGCGUUGUUCGGAAUACUGGGCGUAAAGCGUGCGCAGGCGGCUGCUCAAGUCAGGGGUGAAAGCCCAGAGCUCAACUCUGGAAUUGCCUUUGAGACUGAGUGGCUUGAGUACGGGAGAGGUGAGUGGAAUUCCCAGUGUAGAGGUGAAAUUCGUAGAUAUUGGGAAGAACACCGGUGGCGAAGGCGGCUCACUGGCCCCGUAACUGACGCUCAUGCACGACAGCGUGGGGAUCAAACAGG